GGUGGGUACAGCUCAGUGGUAGAGCCCAUGCUUAGCAUGCACGAGGUCCUGGGUUCAAUCCCCAGUACCACCA
rnacentral:tRNA from 1 species